rnacentral:piRNA from 1 species
ACCGACGUGCGUCUGUGGAGGAG